rnacentral:rRNA from 1 species
GACGAACGCUGGCGGCGUGCUUAACACAUGCAAGUCGAACGGAAAGGCCCUGCUUUUGUGGGGUGCUCGAGUGGCGAACGGGUGAGUAACACGUGGGUAACCUGCCCUUGACUUUGGGAUAACUUCAGGAAACUGGGGCUAAUACCGGAUAGGAGCUCCUGCUGCAUGGUGGGGGUUGGAAAGUUUCGGCGGUUGGGGAUGGACUCGCGGCUUAUCAGCUUGUUGGUGGGGUAGUGGCUUACCAAGGCUUUGACGGGUAGCCGGCCUGAGAGGGUGACCGGCCACAUUGGGACUGAGAUACGGCCCAGACUCCUACGGGAGGCAGCAGUGGGGAAUAUUGCACAAUGGGCGGAAGCCUGAUGCAGCAACGCCGCGUGCGGGAUGACGGCCUUCGGGUUGUAAACCGCUUUCGCCUGUGACGAAGCGUGAGUGACGGUAAUGGGUAAAGAAGCACCGGCUAACUACGUGCCAGCAGCCGCGGUGAUACGUAGGGUGCGAGCGUUGUCCGGAUUUAUUGGGCGUAAAGGGCUCGUAGGUGGUUGAUCGCGUCGGAAGUGUAAUCUUGGGGCUUAACCCUGAGCGUGCUUUCGAUACGGGUUGACUUGAGGAAGGUAGGGGAGAAUGGAAUUCCUGGUGGAGCGGUGGAAUGCGCAGAUAUCAGGAGGAACACCAGUGGCGAAGGCGGUUCUCUGGGCCUUUCCUGACGCUGAGGAGCGAAAGCGUGGGGAGCGAACAGGCUUAGAUACCCUGGUAGUCCACGCUGUAAACGGUGGGUACUAGGUGUGGGGUCCAUUCCACGGGUUCCGUGCCGUAGCUAACGCUUUAAGUACCCCGCCUGGGGAGUACGGCCGCAAGGCUAAAACUCAAAGGAAUUGACGGGGCCCCGCACAAGCGGCGGAGCAUGCGGAUUAAUUCGAUGCAACGCGUAGAACCUUACCUGGGUUUGACAUGGAUCGGGAGUGCUCAGAGAUGGGUGUGCCUCUUUUGGGGUCGGUUCACAGGUGGUGCAUGGCUGUCGUCAGCUCGUGUCGUGAGAUGUUGGGUUAAGUCCCGCAACGAGCGCAACCCUUGUUCACUGUUGCCAGCACGUUAUGGUGGGGACUCAGUGGAGACCGCCGGGGUCAACUCGGAGGAAGGUGGGGAUGACGUCAAGUCAUCAUGCCCCUUAUGUCCAGGGCUUCACGCAUGCUACAAUGGCUGGUACAGAGAGUGGCGAGCCUGUGAGGGUUAGCGAAUCUCGGAAAGCCGGUCUCAGUUCGGAUUGGGGUCUGCAACUCGACCUCAUGAAGUCGGAGUCGCUAGUAAUCGCAGAUCAGCAACGCUGCGGUGAAUACGUUCCCGGG